rnacentral:lncRNA from 1 species
CUCUCGAUCUCGUCACGAAGCUAGUGGCAGUCUUCAAUAUCAUGACCAUUGUCACAAUGAUAAAAGUAGUAUUUAUUCGGAUCUCGACGACAUUCUAGUCUUGUUCUCAUCAGUUGUGGCUCAGGUAACUCAGGUCUCACUUAUAACAAUACCUUGCUCUGAGGAACAGUCAGGGGCGUAUGGUUAUUGUACUGCCCAGGAGGUGAUGGUCGUCGAAUCCUUUUCAGAGGACUCUG